GAUGAACGCUGGCGGCGUGCCUAAUACAUGCAAGUCGAGCGAACAGACGAGGAGCUUGCUCCUCUGACGUUAGCGGCGGACGGGUGAGUAACACGUGGAUAACCUACCUAUAAGACUGGGAUAACUUCGGGAAACCGGAGCUAAUACCGGAUAAUAUAUUGAACCGCAUGGUUCAAUAGUGAAAGACGGUUUUGCUGUCACUUAUAGAUGGAUCCGCGCCGCAUUAGCUAGUUGGUAAGGUAACGGCUUACCAAGGCAACGAUGCGUAGCCGACCUGAGAGGGUGAUCGGCCACACUGGAACUGAGACACGGUCCAGACUCCGACGGGAGGCAGCAGUAGGGAAUCUUCCGCAAUGGGCGAAAGCCUGACGGAGCAACGCCGCGUGAGUGAUGAAGGUCUGCGGAUCGUAAAACUCUGUUAUUAGGGAAGAACAAAUGUGUAAGUAACUAUGCACGUCUUGACGGUACCUAAUCAGAAAGCCACGGCUAACUUCGU
rnacentral:rRNA from 1 species